GAUGAACGCUAGCGGCAGGCCUAAUACAUGCAAGUCGAGGGGUAGAGGAGAGCUUGCUUUCCUUGAGACCGGCGCACGGGUGCGUAACGCGUAUGCAACCUACCCUUUUCUGGGGGAUAGCCCGGAGAAAUCCGGAUUAAUACCGCAUAAGACCACACGGCGGCAUCGUCGAGGGGUCAAACAUUUAUGGGAGAAGGAUGGGCAUGCGUGCCAUUAGCUAGUUGGCGGGGUAACGGCCCACCAAGGCUACGAGGGCUAGGGGAUCUGAGAGGAUGGCCCCCCACACUGGUACUGAGACACUGACCAGACUCCUACGGAAGGCAUCAGUAAGGAAAAUUGGUCAGUGGGCGCAAGCCUGAACCAGCCAUGCCGCGUGCAGGAAGACGGCCCUCCGGGUUGUAAACUGCUUUUGUACGGGAAUAAACCUUUCUUCGUGAAGGAAGCUGAAUGUACCGUAAGAAUAAGGAUCGGCUAACUCCGUGCCAGCAGCCGCCGUAA
rnacentral:rRNA from 1 species